GUCGAGGGGUAUAGGUUUUCGGACCUAGAGACCGGCGCACGGGUGCGUAACGCGUAUGCAAUCUACCUUUUACAGAGGGAUAGCCCAGAGAAAUUUGGAUUAAUACCUCAUAGUAUUACGACUCGGCAUCGAGAUGUAAUUAAAGUCACAACGGUAAAAGAUGAGCAUGUGUCCCAUUAGCUUGUUGGUAAGGUAACGGCUUACCAAGGCAACGAUGGGUAGGGGUCCUGAGAGGGAGAUCCCCCACACUGGUACUGAGACACGGACCAGACUCCUACGGGAGGCAGCAGUGAGGAAUAUUGGUCAAUGGGCGCAAGCCUGAACCAGCCAUGCCGCGUGCAGGAUGAAGCAUCUAUGGUGUGUAAACUGCUUUUGUACGAGAAGAAACACUCCUUCGUGAAGGAGCUUGACGGUAUCGUAAGAAUAAGGACCGGCUAACUCCGUGCCAGCAGCCGCGGUAAUACGGAGGGUCCAAGCGUUAUCCGGAAUCAUUGGGUUUAAAGGGUCCGUAGGCGGUUUUGUAAGUCGGUGGUGAAAGCCCAUCGCUCAACGGUGGAACGGCCAUUGAUACUGCAAGACUUGAAUUAUUGGGAAGCAACUAGAAUAUGUAGUGUAGCGGUGAAAUGCUUAGAGAUUACAUGGAAUAC
rnacentral:rRNA from 1 species